rnacentral:rRNA from 1 species
UACGUAGGGGGCAAGCGUUAUCCGGAUUUACUGGGUGUAAAGGGAGCGUAGACGGCGAUGCAAGCCAGAUGUGAAAGCCCGGGGCUCAACCCCGGGACUGCAUUUGGAACUGUGUGGCUGGAGUGUCGGAGAGGCAAGUGAAAUUCCUAGUGUAGCGGUGAAAUGCGUAGAUAUUAGGAGGAACACCAGUGGCGAAGGCGGCUUGCUGGACGAUGACUGACGUUGAGGCUCGAAAGCGUGGGGAGCAAACAGG